rnacentral:rRNA from 1 species
GAUGAACGCUGGCGGCGUGCCUAAUACAUGCAAAUCGAGCGAACAGACGAGGAGCUUGCUCCUCUGACGUUAGCGGCUGACGGGUGAGUAACACGUGGAUAACCUACCUAUAAGACUGGGAUAACUUCGGGAAACCGGAGCUAAUACCGGAUAAUAUAUUGAACCGCAUGGUUCAAUAGUGAAAGACGGUUUUGCUGUCACUUAUAGAUGGAUCCGCGCCGCAUUAGCUAGUUGGUAAGGUAACGGCUUACCAAGGCAACGAUGCGUAGCCGACCUGAGAGGGUGAUCGGCCACACUGGAACUGAGACACGGUCCAGACUCCUACGGGAGGCAGCAGUAGGGAAUCUUCCGCAAUGGGCGAAAGCCUGACGGAGCAACGCCGCGUGAGUGAUGAAGGUCUUCGGAUCGUAAAACUCUGUUAUUAGGGAAGAAAAAAUGUGUAAGUAACUAUGCACGUCUUGACGGUACCUAAUCAGAAAGCCACGGCUAACUACGUG